GCCCUCGUAGCUCAGUGGAUAGAGCACCGGACUUCUAAUCCGAUGGUCGCAGGUUCGAAUCCUGCCGGGGGCA
rnacentral:tRNA from 3 species